GGGAUGGUGCAGGUCUGUGCUGACUCUCACUCAGGGCAGACUGUAAGGUUAUCCCAUUCUAAUUAAACAUUUUUUUCUAGUAAAAAAAACUGUUGCUGCUUGUAAAAGUGAGGCACUAAUAUCACUAAUGUCAGCACCUUGGAAUGGUGCAAAGAAAUGAUCACUCAUCUCAAUCAUGCAAGGCUCCCGCUGAUCCUGUGUUGGGUUUCCCUUGAACAAAAAAUGAAGCAAACCAGCUGAGCAGCGAGCAGUGGAGGCUAACAGAGGAAGUCUGCCUGGGAUCUGUCCAAGAGGAGGUACACUAAGUGCUGCAUUAGGGGGGCUGUGUUGACAGAAUCUAUACUGGAUCCGCUACUUCUGCUACAGCUACUGAUGCCAAAGGUCAGAAUCAUUCACAAGCCAAGCUCCAUAAAAAGGAUAUACUACUGGAAACCAGAACUUCAAGAAGAGGAUCACCAGAGACCAAGAUUCUGGCAAUCAAGGUAAGCCUGAAGCAGUUGUACAGCUUGUUCCAAUGAAAAGUCAUCUUGGCCUGGUGGCAGAUUACCAUUGCAAAUUACCUGCCAGGUGCAGGACACAGGAAAGCUCUGAUGCUACAGUGAAGACCAUGAAGACUGACUGAGGAAUCCCAUUAUAUGGAGCUCAUUGGAGGAUUGGGGUCUCACUUUGUCUCAAGUCCAAACCCCUGCUAAGAAAAGCUACACUUAGAUCCCCUGACUCUCCUUUUUAAAAAAUCAUCUUGUUUACUCACUUUACUUUAUUGGCCUUACUUAGUAACAUAUCAGUUUUAAAUUUGGACCCCAAAAUGCCAGAAGAGAA